rnacentral:lncRNA from 1 species
UUGGGGGUAAGGGUACUUGUUUUCAAUGCUUAAAAUUCAAAAACCUUGGGCAUGACAUGUUGAAUUCCUUGAUAAGCUGAUGAAGACAUCCCAUACAAAUCAUAUAUUUCUUACAUAGUCGUAAAAGUAGCCUUCCUUCGUAAAUUAUCCUAAAAAUUAAAAGUUAUAAAAUGGUGGCCAACUGUGGUAGGUUCAAAGUUAACAACGAAGAAGUCAGUGCCCAAUGAGUUAAG